UACUUGUACUGUAGAGAGUACAUGCAAUCUCUUUUCAGGAGAAAUCGAAUUAUAACUUCAUCCUUCUGACUGAACAUGGUUGCUUAUGUUUACACCACACCUACCCUUUUUGGACAGGGUUUUACUGCCAGUCGGAAGGAAGUCAGGAAUUACAAUAUUUAUGUACUCCAGCUGGCAGUCAACCUGUGGGGCGUUUUCAUUGCCAAAAUUAAUAAGAUU
rnacentral:lncRNA from 1 species